GCCUAGUUAGCUUAGAUGGUAGUGCGUCUGCCUUGUAAGCGCUAGGCCGCGGGUUCGAUUCCCGCCCGGGGCG
rfam:Asian citrus Psyllid, Diaphorina citri - Florida Strain, whole genome shotgun sequence.